rnacentral:rRNA from 1 species
UAGGGAAUCUUCCGCAAUGGGCGAAAGCCUGACGGAGCAACGCCGCGUGAGUGAUGAAGGUCUUCGGAUCGUAAAACUCUGUUAUUAGGGAAGAACAAAUGUGUAAGUAACUAUGCACGUCUUGACGGUACCUAAUCAGAAAGGCACGGCUAACUACGUGCCAGCAGCCGCGGUAAUACGUAGGUGGCAAGCGUUAUCCGGAAUUAUUGGGCGUAAAGCGCGCGUAGGCGGUUUUUUAAGUCUGAUGUGAAAGCCCACGGCUCAACCGUGGAGGGUCAUUGGAAACUGGAAAACUUGAGUGCAGAAGAGGAAAGUGGAAUUCCAUGUGUAGCGGUGAAAUGCGCAGAGAAAUGGAGGAACACCAGUGGCGAAGGCGACUUUCUGGUCUGUAACUGACGCUGAUGUGCGAAAGCGUGGGGAUCAAACAGG